ACGGGCGUGAGCGUCGGUACGGGCGUGAGCGUCGGUACGGGCGUGAGCGUCGGUACGGGCGUGAGCGUCGGUACGGGCGUGAGCGUCGGUACGGGCGUGAGCGUCGGUACGGGCGUGAGCGUCGGUAGGGGCUUGCGUGUCUAUUAAUUGUUAUGUCCUUCAAGCAUGAAUUAAGUAACACCUUCUGGUUAUAAUGCCAGCCCGGAAUAUGAAUAUAAGGUUAGCUUCUACAAUUGAUUUGGCAGGAAUCAAAUCCGAGUUCCUCUACUGCGGAUUCGGCAGGGACCAGGCCUUCAGCGAUGGACAACGUUAUGCUACCAUCCAAGCAUGGAGCUUCUUUGUCACUGCAAGGUGGGAUGGCACAGUCAACACACAAGCAACUUGAUAUUUGCCCAACAGCCACUGGUAAGUGUCCAUAUUCUUGCCUACCAUUUUCCAAAAAUUUAAAUAUUUAGUUUAUUCAAAAACAACAACUAUGUUCUUUGUUUUAUAAAAAGCAAAUCAGAAAUGUUCCAUUUUUAACA
rnacentral:lncRNA from 1 species